CAUUAAUGGUUUUGAGAGUAAUCAAAGCUAAGAGGUUGCUGACAGAAUGGAGCCUGCAAAAAGAAAAGAGUAUUUUAGAUAGCCAAAUAUUUCAGCCGAAGGAAGCAAUUUAUGGGGUCACUUGCCACAAAAGACUACGCAAAUGCUUGAAGAUAAGUCUUUCUUUUUCUUCCCUUUUUUGAUCAAGUAAAGAUGGUCAAAUUUGAGGUUCUACCCCUGCCCCACCUCAAAGGGG